GACGUAGGAUGCAAGCGUUGUCCGGAUUUAUUGGGCGUAAAGAGUUCGUAGGCGGUUCGUUAAGUCUGAUGUUAAAUAUCGGGGCUCAACCUCGGGAGUGCAUUGGAUACUGGCGGACUGGAGUGUGGUAGAGGUUAGUGGAAUUCCCAGUGUAGCGGUGAAAUGCGUAGAUAUUGGGAAGAACACCGGUGGCGAAGGCGGCUCUCUGGACCGUAACUGACGCUGAGGCGCGAAAGCGUGGGGAGCAAACAGG
rnacentral:rRNA from 1 species